rnacentral:lncRNA from 1 species
AAUACACAACACUUUAUUAUCAAGAUUACUGAUCUUCGUAAAAUAAACCAAAUAUAGUAAUUCUAUAUAUACUGUAAUCCUACAUUAUAUUACUGCAUUAAACCAAACGCAAUAAUACAGCAUUAGUAGUAAUCUGAUUCAAAUCUCGGAUACCUGAUUAUGUCAAAAUAACAUGUAACGUUACAUAACGCGAACCAAAUGCGAGCCGUUUGAUUCACGGCUUGCAAUAUUUUCAGUAAUUUUCUUAUUAAAAAUAUUCAAGUUAUUAAUGUUUAACUAACGUUUAGUAGUUGUAUAAGAUAUUAGGGGCUGUUUGGUUGUACGUAUUUGCAACUGCAGUGCAGUUACAAAUACGUGCAGCCAUAAUUCUUUUGUUUGGUUUAGUGUAGUUGAGUCCAACUGCUGCAGUUCCAACUGCACAAGAAGGCCCAAAUGCUGCAGUUGGAACUACAUCCAAAUUGGUCGUAGUUCCAACUGCAGCAGUUGGUGAGGAAUAGGAUCACCCACAAAUUA